rnacentral:lncRNA from 1 species
UCCUUUCAGCUGCGGAGGUUGCAGUCUGGCGGCUGCUGGCCAGUCCUUCUCCCAGUGCUUGAUGGGUGUCCUUUGCACCUCCAGCCAGCUUUUUCAGAGAACCAGAGCUGGAAGACCAUCUCAUCCAGAUGUGUGAUGCUCCCCACAAAUCCCCCCUCCCCCAGGAGCAGCCAGCAUUCUCACUUUCAGAUAGGGAAACUGAUGAGCCAAAGAAGGGAGGAUUUGCGCCAAGUCCCAAAAGCAAGUGUGCCGGAGCCAACUCCUCUACCCUCUUUCUCAGCUGCCAUCCCCUGGGACAGGUCAUGUGAAAGGAGAUCUGGGGCCAGGCUGACCGCAGCUGGAUGCACCCAUCUAACCUCCAGCUGCGUUGCUGGUCCGCUCAUCUACCCUCUCUCAUCCUUUGCUUAUGUCAGUGCCUGGAGCAUAGCAAGGGCUGUGCAUGAGGCUCUUGCUUUACUUCUGGUAGAUGUCACGUUCCACAAGAGGCAUGUCUAUCUUAGUCACCUGCCACCCGUGUCUUCCUGCUUGAAUCCCUUCCACAAUCCUAGAUCGACCCUUUUCUCUCUCUCCUCUCUGGAGCCCACUCCCAGCCCCAGCCCCACUC